CGGACGGGUGAGUAACGCGUGAGCAACCUGCCUUUCAGAGAGGGAUAACGUUUGGAAACGAACGCUAAUACCGCAUGACAUUAUCUUAUCACAUGGUAGGAUAAUCAAAGGAGCAAUCCGCUGAAAGAUGGGCUCGCGUCCGAUUAGGUAGUUGGUGGGGUAACGGCCCACCAAGCCGACGAUCGGUAGCCGGACUGAGAGGUUGGACGGCCACAUUGGGACUGAGACACGGCCCAGACUCCUACGGGAGGCAGCAG
rnacentral:rRNA from 1 species